rnacentral:rRNA from 1 species
GUGGGGAAUAUUGGACAAUGGGCGAAAGUCUGAUCCAGCCAUGCCGCGUGAAGGAUUAAGGUCCUCUGGAUUGUAAACUUCUUUUAUAAGGGACGAAAAAAGGCUUUUCUAAGUCGUCUGACGGUACCUUAUGAAUAAGCACCGGCUAACUCCGUGCCAGCAGCCGCGGUAAUACGGAGGGUGCAAGCGUUAUCCGGAUUCACUGGGUUUAAAGGGUGCGUAGGCGGGCAGGUAAGUCAGUGGUGAAAUCCUAGAGCUUAACUCUAGAACUGCCAUUGAUACUAUCUGUCUUGAAUAUUGUGGAGGUAAGCGGAAUAUGUCAUGUAGCGGUGAAAUGCUUAGAUAUGACAUAGAACACCUAUUGCGAAGGCAGCUUACUACGCAUAUAUUGACGCUGAGGCACGAAAGCGUGGGGAUCAAACAGGAUUAGAAACCCCAGUAGUCC